CCUCUGGUAGCUCAGUUGGUAGAGCGGUGGACUGUAGUUGGUUAAUAAACAGUUAUCCAUAGGUCGCUGGUUCAAAUCCGGCCCGGAGGA
rnacentral:tRNA from 1 species